AUACAGAGGGUGCGAGCGUUAAUCGGAAUUACUGGGCGUAAAGGGUGCGUUAGGUGGUCAAUUAAGUUAGAUGUGAAAUCCCUGGGCUUAACCUAGGAAUGGCAUUUAAUACUGAUUGGCUAGAGUUUGGGAGAGGGAAGUGGAAUUUCCGGUGUAGCGGUGAAAUGCGUAGAUAUCGGAAGGAACACCAGUGGCGAAGGCGACUUCCUGGCCCGAUACUGACACUGAGGCACGAAAGCGUGGGGAGC
rnacentral:rRNA from 1 species